rnacentral:rRNA from 1 species
AGAGUUUGAUCAUGGCUCAGGACGAACGCUGGCGGCAUGCCUAACACAUGCAAGUCGAACGGGAUCCGGACUUCGGUUCGGUGAGAGUGGCGGACGGGUGAGUAACGCGUGGGAACCUGCCCAGUGGUGGGGGAUAACUGCGGGAAACUGCAGCUAAUACCGCAUGAGCCCGAGAGGGGAAAGAUUUAUCGCCAUUGGAGGGGCCCGCGUUCGAUUAGGUAGUUGGUGAGGUAAUGGCUCACCAAGCCGACGAUCGAUAGCUGGUCUGAGAGGAUGAUCAGCCACACUGGGACUGAGAUACGGCCCAGACUCCUACGGGAGGCAGCAGUGGGGAAUAUUGGACAAUGGGGGCAACCCUGAUCCAGCAAUGCCGCGUGAGGGAUGAAGGCCUUCGGGUUGUAAACCUCUUUUGUCAGGGACGAUGAUGACGGUACCUGACGAAUAAGCCACGGCUAACUACGUGCCAGCAGCGGCGGUAAUAC